rnacentral:lncRNA from 1 species
AUGGGGUUAUGGGGUCCUACCCCAUAUCUAUGGGGUUAUGGGGUGACCCCCAUAUCUAUGGGGUUAUGGGGUGACCCCCCAUAUCUAUGGGGUUAUGGGGUGACCCCCAUAUCUAUGGGGUUUUGGGGUCCUGCCCCAUAUCUAUGGGGCUAUGGGGUCUAUGCCCCCAUUUCUAUGGGGCUAUGGGGUCUAUGCCCCCAUUUCUAUGGGGUUUGGGGGUCCUGCCCCAUAUCUAUGGGGCUAUGGGGUCUAUGCUCCCAUUUCUAUGGGGUUUUGGGGUCCUGCCCCAUAUCUAUGGGGCUAUGGGGUCUAUGCUUCCAUUUCUAUGGGGUUUGGGGGUCCUGCCCCAUAUCUAUGGGGUUAUGGGGUGACCCCCAUUUCUAUGGGGUUUGGGGGUCCUGCCCCAUAUCUAUGGGGCUAUGGGGUCUAUGCCCUCGUUUCUAUGGGGUUUUGGGGUCCCCCCUCAUAUCUAUGGGGCUAUGGGGUCUAUGCCCCCGUUUCUAUGGGGCUAUGGGGUCUAUGCCUCCAUAUCUAUGGGGUUUUGGGGUCCUGCCCCAUAUCUAUGGGGCUUUGGGAUCCCCCCCAUAUCUAUGGGGCUAUGGGGUCUAUGCCUCCAUUUCUAUGGGGUUUUGGGGUCCCUCCCCAUAUCUAUGGGGCUAUGGGGUCUAUGCCCCCAUUUCUAUGGGGUUUUGGGGUCCCCCCCAUAUCUAUGGGGCUAUGGGGUCUAUGCUUCCAUAUCUAUGGGGCUUUGGGGUCCCCACCCAUUUCUAUGGGGCUAUGGGGUCUAUGCCCCCGUUUCUAUGGGGUUUGGGGGUCCUACCCCAUUUCUAUGGGGCUUUGGGGUCUAUGUCCCCAUAUCUAUGGGGCUAUGGGGUCCCCCCCCAUAUCUAUGGGGCUUUGGGAUCCCCCCUCAUAUCUAUGGGGUCUUGGGGUCCUGCCCCAUGUCUAUGGGGCUAUGGGGUCUAUGCCCUCAUUUCUAUGGGGUUUGGGGGUCCUGCCCCAUAUCUAUGGGGCUAUGGGGUCUAUGCCCCCAUUUCUAUGGGGCCA